AGUGAACGUUGGCGGCGUGGAUUAGGCAUGCAAGUCGAGCGAGAACCGUAGCAAUACGGGGACAGCGGCGACAGGGACAGUAAUGUGUAGGUACCUACCCCCGGGUUCGGGAUAGCUGCGGGAAACUGCAGGUAAUACAGAAUAAUCUCUCCGGACCAAAGGUGUGAUUCCACCUGGGCAGGGGCCUGCAUCCUAUUAGCUUGUUGGUGGGGUAACGGCCUAGCAAGGCGACGAUGGGUAGCGGUUGGGAGAGCAUGACCCGCGUCAUUGGGACUGAGACACUGACCAGACACCUACGGGUGGCUGCAGUCGAGAAUCUUCGGCAAUGGGCGAAGGCCUGACCGAGCGACGCCGCGUGCGGGAUGAAUGCCUUCUGGUUGUAAACCGCUGUCGUAGAGGAGGAAAUGCAAGGGGGUUCUCCCCUUUGCUUGACCUAUUCUAGGAGGAAGUACGGGCUAAGUUCGUGCCAGCCGCCGCGGUAAUAC
rnacentral:rRNA from 1 species